GAUGAACGCUAGCGGCAGGCUUAACACAUGCAAGUCGAGGGGUAACGGGGAAGCUUGCUUCCGCCGACGACCGGCGCACGGGUGCGUAACGCGUAUACAAUCUACCUUAUACUGGGGUAUAGCCUUUAGAAAUGAAGAUUAACCCCCCAUAGUCUCUUAGAGUGGCAUCACUUCUAGAGUAAAGGUUACGGUAUAAGAUGAGUAUGCGUUCUAUUAGUUUGUUGGUGUGGUAACGGCACACCAAGACUACGAUAGAUAGGGGCCCUGAGAGGGGGAUCCCCCACACUGGUACUGAGACACGGACCAGACUCCUACGGGAGGCAGCAGUGAGGAAUAUUGGACAAUGGAGGCAACUCUGAUCCAGCCAUGCCGCGUGCAGGAAGACUGCCCUAUGGGUUGUAAACUGCUUUUAUACAGGAAGAAACACCUCUACGUGUAGAGGCUUGACGGUACUGUAAGAAUAAGGAUCGGCUAACUCCGUGCCAGCAGCCGCGGUAAUACGGAGGAUCCAAGCGUUAUCCGGAAUCAUUGGGUUUAAAGGGUCCGUAGGUGGAUAAUUAAGUCAGAGGUGAAAUCUUGCAGCUCAACUGUAAAAUUGCCUUUUGAAACUGGUUAUUCUUGAGUUAUUAUGAAGUAGUUAGAAUAUGUAGUGUAGCGGUGAAAUGCAUAGAUAUUACAUAGAAUACCAAUUGCGAAGGCAGAUUACUAAUAAUCAACCGACACUGAUGGACGAAAGCGUGGGUAGCGAACAGGAUUAGAUACCCUGGUAGUCCACGCCGUAAACGAUGGUUACUAGCUGGUUUGGACUUCGGUCUGAGUGGCUAAGCGAAAGUGAUAAGUAACCCACCUGGGGAGUACGUUCGCAAGAAUGAAACUCAAAGGAAUUGACGGGGGGGCCCGCACAAGCGGUGGAGCAUGUGGUUUAAUUCGAUGAUACGCGAGGAACCUUACCAGGGCUUAAAUGUAAGUUGCAUUAGUUAGAGAUAGCUAUUUCUUCGGACCACUUACAAGGUGCUGCAUGGUUGUCGUCAGCUCGUGCCGUGAGGUGUCAGGUUAAGUCCUAUAACGAGCGCAACCCCUGUUGUUAGUUGCCAGCGAGUCAUGUCGGGAACUCUAGCAAGACUGCCAGUGCAAACUGUGAGGAAGGUGGGGAUGACGUCAAAUCAUCACGGCCCUUACGUCCUGGGCUACACACGUGCUACAAUGGUAGGUACAGAGAGCAGCCACUGCGCGAGCAGGAGCGAAUCUAUAAAACCUAUCACAGUUCGGAUCGGAGUCUGCAACUCGACUCCGUGAAGCUGGAAUCGCUAGUAAUCGGAUAUCAGCCAUGAUCCGGUGAAUACGUUCCCGGGCCUUGUACACACCGCCCGUCAAGCCAUGGAAGUUGGAAGUGCCUGAAGUCCGUCACCGUAAGGAGCGGCCUAGGGUAAAGUCGAUAACUAGGGC
rnacentral:rRNA from 1 species